GCGAGAGUGGCGGAAUGGCAGACGCACUAGCUUGAGGGGCUAGCGGUAGCAAUACUGUAGGGGUUCAAGUCCCCUCUCUCGCA
rnacentral:tRNA from 1 species